CCUGAGAAGGCCAGGCCAGAAGAGCUAUGGUGUGAUGGUUUAUAUUGCUCAGCCCAGAGAGUGGCACUAUUACAAGGUGUGGCCCUGUUGGAGUAGGUGUGUCACUGUGGGUGUGGGCUUUAAGACCCUCUUCCUAGCUGCCUGGAAGCCAGUAUUCUGCUAGCAGCCUUCAGAUGAGGAUGUAGAACUCUCAGCUCCUGCACCAUGCCUGCCUGGAUGCUGUCAUGUUCCUGCCUUGAUAAUAGACUGAACCUGCUGUGGGGGGUGGAGUCUAGUCAGAAUGCCAGAAGCUUGGAACAUUGUCUGUGUGACUUAUAGUAACAGAAUUAUGGAGUUGGGGGCUCUGUGGUGUCAGGCACUUGUCUCUGGGAACAUGGCUCACUGUUCUGUCCCUUGUAGAGUUUCCUACUGGGUCUCUGGAGCAAGACUCAUUCAACCAAAACAGGCUGCCUUUCAUGGCCCCACAGUCCUUUAUAAGACUUGCCUUGGUCAUGGUGUCUGUUCACAGCAGUAAAACCCUAAGACACGUGGUUACAAUCAGCUAUUAUCUGCUUUGCAGGAGAGAGUCUCAUGUAGUUUGUGGUGACUUCUGAAUGAAAAAAAAGAAAGAAAGAAAGAAGGAGGAUAUGACCCACUCCUAAGGGGUUGUUUUUAUUCCAGAUACAAGGGCGAGCACAGGCAGAAGCAGAGACGUCUGGGAGAAUCCAGAGUGGACAGGACCAUGACUGACCAACUAGGUGCCAACAGCCAAUAGCUGGGCAAAGGGAGACAGAGUGGGACCCUUAGAGUCUGGCUAGGCCGCAGGCGGGAGGAGAAGGAGAAUCGCCAUGACGCAGGCACAGCAUGAGAUAAAGAGAUAAAGCCAACCAGCCUCGUGAGAUUUUUGGGUAAGUGGCCACUGGCAACUUCACUGUUGGGCCUAGGGUAGCAGGGGAAGGUUUAGGAGUGCUCAGCCUUUGAGGUAACCAAGGCACUUUAAAAAAUAUCAGCAGGUCCAGUGCAACAGCAGACACCAAACAGGAAUCAGCAACAGCAGCACACUCCACCAGAAACAGCAAGGUUCUGCCAAAUCAGCACGAGUCAGUGGAAGUGGCCAAAGUCAGCUGGAAUACCACGAGAAGUUCUUUGGUGCCUGGAAGUCAGUCUUCUCCUAUUUGUCUUCGGAACAAGAUGUAGAGCUCCCAGCUCCUCCUGUGCCAUACCUGCCUGGAUGCUGCCAUGCUCCCCCCUCGAUGAUAAUGAACUGAACCUCUGAACCUGUAAGCUAAUCCCAAUAAAAAGUUGUCCUUAUAAGAGUUGCCUUGGGCUCUCUCCGCCUUAGCACCAUCUUCCUUGAAACUCCUGUGCCAUGAGAGCGAAGAGGCGGGAGAAGAUAAAGCGUAGACUGAAGCGCAAGAGAAGAAAGAUGAGGCAGAGAUCCAAGUAAAUCAGCCUGUGCACCCACGACGCCUACAGGAGCAGAAGUGAGGGAUGCUGAAGGCCAGGACACCGAAACAAGCUGUUGGACUGUAUGCUGAUGUGGAUAAUAAGUCUCAGUGGACCUGGAAUGUCAUCUCGCCAACAUCACCUGGGGGAAUGACUGCCUUUCUUACAACCAAAACAGUCCCGCUGGCCCUCUGCCCCGGACCUUUGGCACUCUGGACGAGUUCUGUUCUCUCUUGUGGCCAAGUGUAACUCGUGUAUGAUAAAUCCUCUUGCUGUCAGCUGAAGAAUCAAAGCAGCUCUGCCCAAAGCUGGGCUGUGAACUGAAUUGGGCAGAACUGGAAUUUAUGAUUUGAGCACUUCCACACAAACCUCCUUCACACCACCCUGCUCUGCAGUGAAAGUCUAAGAAGCUGAGAGGAACUAAGUCCUGAGAGGGAACCAGUCCCUGAAGGACGUGGUGAGCAUAAGAAAAACAACAAAGCUUCAUCCAGCAUCCACAGCACCAGCACACGUGACUGCUGCAGCGGCCACUGAGAGCGAGAGGGAAAUAUCAGGUGUGGGCUUUCAGCAUUUAGAUCCUGGGGAGGCGCUCUGGCUGCUCUCUCACUGCAGGCUCUUUAUGCCACCAGUCAACAAACAGCAGCCUCUGUUGGAAAGGCUCCUUCGAUGUUCUCAAGGACACAGCGCUAUUUUAAAAUUUCUUCAGCCCGGGGAAGAGUAGGAAGCGGUGGCCACAAGGCAGCCUGAAUGCUGGUUUAUCACUUUGGAAUUCAGCUCCACUCAAGCUUUUCAGGAGAUGGGCAGAAGGCAGCAGCAGAGUCUUUUCCAAACUGUAACACGAGUGCCCGUAGUCGGAUUUCCAAGCCUGUCUGAACCUUGGGAACCUGGGGCUCCAUGUCUCUCUCAGCACUCUGGACUUCUGAACUCCUACCAGAAUAUCUCUUUAAGCCCUAAUUACAGCAUCCACAGCUUCUCUGACCUGCAGCUUCAAACUUUUCCAUGAUCUAGUUCCAUAAGUCUAUGAACCAUAUGAGUCGGGUUUAUCACAGUGACAGCCCUACUUCUGGUACUAUUUUUUUGUAUUAGUUACUUAGCUUGUUGGUGUCACAAAAUACCUAAUAAAAGCAAGCUACAAGAGGAAGGGCAAGAAAAGAAAAAAAAAAAGAGGAAGGGCAGUGGUUCAUUUUGUUCAUGUUUUAUUUUAUUUUAUUUACUCUGCUACAUGAACAUCUG
rnacentral:lncRNA from 1 species